rnacentral:rRNA from 1 species
UGUUUGAUGUUCUAACGUUGGCCCCUGAUCGGGGUUGCGGACAGUGUCUGGUGGGUAGUUUGACUGGGGCGGUCUCCUCCUAAAGAGUAACGGAGGAGCACGAAGGUUGGCUAAUCCUGGUCGGACAUCAGGAGGUUAGUGCAAUGGCAUAAGCCAGCUUGACUGCGAGCGUGACGGCGCGAGCAGGUGCGAAAGCAGGUCAUAGUGAUCCGGUGGUUCUGAAUGGAAGGGCCAUCGCUCAACGGAUAAAAGGUACUCCGGGGAUAACAGGCUGAUACCGCCCAAGAGUUCAUAUCGACGGCGGUGUUUGGCACCUCGAUGUCGGCUCAUCACAUCCUGGGGCUGAAGUAGGUCCCAAGGGUAUGGCUGUUCGCCAUUUAAAGUGGUACGCGAGCUGGGUUUAGAACGUCGUGAGACAGUUCGGUCCCUAUCUGCCGUGGGCGCUGGAGAACUGAGGGGGGCUGCUCCUAGUACGAGAGGACCGGAGUGGACGCAUCACUGGUGUUCGGGUUGUCAUGCCAAUGGCACUGCCCGGUAGCUAAAUGCGGAAGAGAUAAGUGCUGAAAGCAUCUAAGCACGAAACUUGCCCCGAGAUGAGUUCUCCCUGAGACUUUAAGUCUCCUGAAGGAACGUUGAAGACGACGACGUUGAUAGGCCGGGUGUGUAAGCGCAGCGAUGCGUUGAGCUAACCGGUACUAAUGAACCGUGAGGCUUAACCUUACAACGCCGAAGGUGUUU